GAUGAACGCUGGCGGCGUGCCUAAUACAUGCAAGUCGAGCGAACAGAUGAGGAGCUUGCUCCUCUGACGUUAGCGGCGGACGGGUGAGUAACACGUGGAUAACCUACCUAUAAGACUGGGAUAACUUCGUGAAACCGGAGCUAAUACCGGAUAAUAUAUUGAACCGCAUGGUUCAAUAGUGAAAGACGGUUUUGCUGUCACUUAUAGAUGGAUCCGCGCCGCAUUAGCUAGUUGGUAAGGUAACGGCUUACCAAGGCAACGAUGCGUAGCCGACCUGAGAGGGUGAUCGGCCACACUGGAACUGAGACACGGUCCAGACUCCUACGGGAGGCAGCAGUAGGGAAUCUUCCGCAAUGGGCGAAAGCCUGACGGAGCAACGCCGCGUGAGUGAUGAAGGUCUUCGGAUCGUAAAACUCUGUUAUUAGGGAAGAACAAAUGUGUAAGUAACUAUGCACGUCUUGACGGUACCUAAUCAGAAAGCCACGGCUAACUACGUG
rnacentral:rRNA from 1 species